rnacentral:rRNA from 1 species
AGUGAACGCUGGCGGUAGGCCUAACACAUGCAAGUCGAACGGCAGCACAGUAAGAGCUUGCUCUUACGGGUGGCGAGUGGCGGACGGGUGAGGAAUACAUCGGAAUCUACUUUUUCGUGGGGGAUAACGUAGGGAAACUUACGCUAAUACCGCAUACGACCUACGGGUGAAAGCAGGGGAUCUUCGGACCUUGCGCGAUUGAAUGAGCCGCUGUCGGAUUAGCUAGUUGGCGGGGUAAAGGCCCACCAAGGCGACGAUCCGUAGCUGGUCUGAGAGGAUGAUCGGCCACACUGGAACUGAGACACGGUCCAGACUCCUACGGGAGGCAGCAGUGGGGAAUAUUGGACAAUGGGCGCAAGCCUGAUCCAGCCAUACCGCGUGGGUGAAGAAGGCCUUCGGGUUGUAAAGACCUUUUGUUGGGAAAGAAAAGCAGCAGGUUAAUACCCCGCUGUUCUGACGGUACCCAAAGAAGAAGCACCGGCUAACUUCGUG